GAUGAACGCUGGCGGCGUGCCUAAUACAUGCAAGUCGAGCGAACGGACGAGAAGCUUGCUUCUCUGAUGUUAGCGGCGGACGGGUGAGUAACACGUGGAUAACCUACCUAUAAGACUGGGAUAACUUCGGGAAACCGGAGCUAAUACCGGAUAAUAUUUUGAACCGCAUGGUUCAAAAGUGAAAGACGGUCUUGCUGUCACUUAUAGAUGGAUCCGCGCUGCAUUAGCUAGUUGGUAAGGUAACGGCUUACCAAGGCAACGAUGCAUAGCCGACCUGAGAGGGUGAUCGGCCACACUGGAACUGAGACACGGUCCAGACUCCUACGGGAGGCAGCAGUAGGGAAUCUUCCGCAAUGGGCGAAAGCCUGACGGAGCAACGCCGCGUGAGUGAUGAAGGUCUUCGGAUCGUAAAACUCUGUUAUUGGGGAAGAACAUAUGUGUAAGUAACUGUGCACAUCUUGACGGUACCUAAUCAGAAAGCCACGGCUAACUACGUGCCAGCAGCCGCGGUAAUACGUAGGUGGCAAGCGUUAUCCGGAAUUAUUGGGCGUAAAGCGCGCGUAGGCGGUUUUUUAAGUCUGAUGUGAAAGCCCACGGCUCAACCGUGGAGGGUCAUUGGAAACUGGAAAACUUGAGUGCAGAAGAGGAAAGUGGAAUUCCAUGUGUAGCGGUGAAAUGCGCAGAGAUAUGGAGGAACACCAGUGGCGAAGGCGACUUUCUGGUCUGUAACUGACGCUGAUGUGCGAAAGCGUGGGGAUCAAACAGGAUUAGAUACCCUGGUAGUCCACGCCGUAAACGAUGAGUGCUAAGUGUUAGGGGGUUUCCGCCCCUUAGUGCUGCAGCUAACGCAUUAAGCACUCCGCCUGGGGAGUACGACCGCAAGGUUGAAACUCAAAGGAAUUGACGGGGACCCGCACAAGCGGUGGAGCAUGUGGUUUAAUUCGAAGCAACGCGAAGAACCUUACCAAAUCUUGACAUCCUUUGACAACUCUAGAGAUAGAGCCUUCCCCUUCGGGGGACAAAGUGACAGGUGGUGCAUGGUUGUCGUCAGCUCGUGUCGUGAGAUGUUGGGUUAAGUCCCGCAACGAGCGCAACCCUUAAGCUUAGUUGCCAUCAUUAAGUUGGGCACUCUAAGUUGACUGCCGGUGACAAACCGGAGGAAGGUGGGGAUGACGUCAAAUCAUCAUGCCCCUUAUGAUUUGGGCUACACACGUGCUACAAUGGACAAUACAAAGGGCAGCGAAACCGCGAGGUCAAGCAAAUCCCAUAAAGUUGUUCUCAGUUCGGAUUGUAGUCUGCAACUCGACUACAUGAAGCUGGAAUCGCUAGUAAUCGUAGAUCAGCAUGCUACGGUGAAUACGUUCCCGGGUCU
rnacentral:rRNA from 1 species